rnacentral:rRNA from 1 species
GAUGAACGCUGGCGGCGUGCCUAAUACAUGCAAGUCGAGCGAACAGACGAGGAGCUUGCUCCUCUGACGUUAGCGGCGGACGGGUGAGUAACACGUGGAUAACCUACCUAUAAGACUGGGAUAACUUCGGGAAACCGGAGCUAAUACCGGAGAAUAUAUUGAACCGCAUGGUUCAAUAGUGAAAGACGGUUUUGCUGUCACUUAUAGAUGGAUACGCGCCGCAUUAGCUAGUUGGUAAGGUAACGGCUUACCAAGGCAACGAUGCGUAGCCGACCUGAGAGGGUGAUAGGCGACACUGGAGCUGGGACACGGUCCAGACUCCUACGGGAGGCAGCAGUAGGGAAUCUUCCGCAAUGGGCGAAAACUUGACGGAGCAACGCCGCGUGAGUGAUGAAGGUCUUCGGAUCGUAAAACUCUGUUAUUAGGGAAGAACAAAUGUGUAAGUAACUAUGCACGUCUUGACGGUACCUAAUCAGAAAGCCACGGCUAACUACGUG